GGGUAAAGGUUUCAUCCAUUUUUAUUAAAAUUGGAGUAACUGACAUAAUAACCAAACAGUUACAUAUCGCGUGCCCGUGUAUCUCAUUUUGACAUAUAAGGAUCAGUUUUUAAUAAUAGAAAUGGAUGAAAUUUUUAACA
rnacentral:pre_miRNA from 1 species